UAAAUCAGUUAUCGUUUAUUUGAUAGUACCUUACUACUUGGAUAACCGUGGUAAUUCUAGAGCUAAUACAUGCUGAAAACCCUGACUUCGGAAAGGGUGUAUUUAUUAGAUAAAAAACCAAUGCCCUUCGGGGCUCUUUGGUGAUUCAUGAUAACUUAACGGAUCGCAUGGCCUUGCGCCGGCGACGGUUCAUUCAAAUUUCUGCCCUAUCAACUUUCGAUGGUAAGGUAUUGGCUUACCAUGGUUUCAACGGGUAACGGGGAAUUAGGGUUCGAUUCCGGAGAGGGAGCCUGAGAAACGGCUACCACAUCCAAGGAAGGCAGCAGGCGCGCAAAUUACCCAAUCCCGACACGGGGAGGUAGUGACAAUAAAUACUGAUACAGGGCUCUUUUGGGUCUUGUAAUCGGAAUGAGUACAAUUUAAACCUCUUAACGAGGAACAAUUGGAGGGCAAGUCUGGUGCCAGCAGCCGCGGUAAUUCCAGCUCCAAUAGCGUAUAUUAAAGUUGUUGCAGUUAAAAAGCUCGUAGUUGAAUCUUGGGCCUGGCUGGCCGGUCCGCCUCACCGCGUGUACUGGUCUGGCCGGGCCUUUCCUUCUGGAGAACCUCAUGCCCUUCAUUGGGUGUGUUGGGGAACCAGGACUUUUACUUUGAAAAAAUUAGAGUGUUCAAAGCAGGCCUUUGCUCGAAUACGUUAGCAUGGAAUAAUAGAAUAGGACGUGCGGUCCUAUUUUGUUGGUUUCUAGGACCGCCGUAAUGAUUAAUAGGGAUAGUCGGGGGCAUCAGUAUUCAAUUGUCAGAGGUGAAAUUCUUGGAUUUAUUGAAGACUAACUACUGCGAAAGCAUUGGCCAAGGAUGUUUUCAUUAAUCAGUGAACGAAAGUUAGGGGAUCGAAAACAAUAAGAUACCGUCGUAGUCUUAACCGUAAACUAUGCCGACUAGGGAUCGGGCGAUGUUUCAUU
rnacentral:rRNA from 1 species